ensembl:lncRNA LINC01606 long intergenic non-protein coding RNA 1606
GCGGAGCGGGCGUUAGAAGUUGCUGGCAGUCAGAGGCAGGGGAGCUGUCACUCGCGGCGAGCCGGGCGGCGGCCAGGGCGCAAAGUUGAGAGCAGUCUCUAGUCUGAGCCUUUCAGUCGCCUUCCAGUAUCAUCAGUACCACGGGCUCCACCUUGCUGCGGCCCCUCAGCAACCCAGUGCACCUGCCACUCGACCAGAGGGAAAGCAGUCAGGAGUGGGAGGCCUCUGAACAAGCUGUAUUUUGUGUAGCCGCCAGCUUCCAUCUUUCUCCAGGCAGAACGCUGGCCCUCAGCACAUCUUUCUGCUUCCCCUCGGUCAGACCACCGAGAACUGCCGCUGUCCUGUCUGACUCCUCCUGUUUUGGUACUAGACCCCAGAUGAGGAUCUCAGGAAGAUCCACAAAGCUGCGUCCAGGGGAACGAACGUGUGGAAGCUGCAGCGGAGCCUCCUGCUCAAGAGUAAAGGACCGGUCUGAAACCUACAAGAACAGGGUCUCCCUGUUGCGCAGGCUGGUCUUGAAGUAUUGAGCCCAAGUGAUCCUCCUGUCUCAGCCUCCCAAAGU